rnacentral:rRNA from 1 species
UACAGAGGCCUCGAGCGUUAGGCGGAAUCACUGGGCUUAAAGCGUGUGUAGGCGGACUUCUAAGUACCUUGUGAAAUCCCACGGCUCACCCGUGGAACUGCUCGGUAUACUGGUCGUCUUGAGCCUUCUAGGGGCGAGUGGAACAAAUGGUGGAGCGGGUGAAAUGCGUAGAUAUCAUUGGAACGCCAAUGGUGAAAACAACUCGCUGGGGAAGUGCUGACGCUGAGACACGAAAGCCAGGGGAGCGAACAG